rnacentral:lncRNA from 1 species
AGUCCUAUGGUCAUAGCUAGUCCUUCUUAAAGCUCUAGCCAGUGGGAAAGCGUUUGUGUUUCUAUCCUUGGAGCUCCAAGUGGGACUUCUUAAAAGAUUUAGAAGGAGCAAAGCUGUCAGGAAAUCAGAAACGUCACAUGGACUCCAUGACUGGGAAAAACCUCGUGGUGGCCUGCUCUCAGUGCUUGGAUGUGUGCUAGUUACAUCUCGGAGAGAGCCGAGUUCUGUCACCACAGACAUUGGCAGUGGCACUUGCAUGCCCCUGGCAAGCAGUCUAUCCUGAGGUGGAGGAAGUUGCCCUUGAGUUCUGGCUGGUAACCAGCACAGUAUACCCUUUAAGCGUUCCAGAAGGAUUUUGAGAUCCUUUCCUAAAUCAAAGGUGGAAUAUUUGGGGAUUUGGAAAAUUGAGAUGUGAAGCGUUGACUUAAGAGAUGCCAAGUAACUCAGCAGAUGUCACACAGACGAUAAAUAGCAAAGAUGGAAGUCUUCAUGCCGGAGGCAAUCCUAUAAGACAGCUGAGUUCUGCAGAGCUGGAGACAGACUUGCUCAGGUGAUAGAUCCAGCCAUGAUACUGACCCUAAGAGAAUGAGACGCUCUGCAGAAGACAGAAGAUUCCUGAAACUGGGAAAGGUGCCUAGAAAUCCUGAUAAGAGUGAAGAAGGAGCUGGCAGAGCAGCCUUCCUCCGCACUAUGAAAGACAUCCAACAGAGAGCAAGUUCCCACCUCACUUCCAGCUUGACUCCUUUUUAUCUCCUAACUGUGGUCUGUGAUGUCUUCAGCAAUGGUAUUAACUAGUUCUGGGUACCUGGAGGCACAGCAGCCAUGUUGAACCUAUGAGGUGAUGAAAAACCAUGCAACUAGAAACCAGAAUGGAAGAAAAGAAGAAGCUGGAUCCUUGACUGAAUUGUCGAUGGGGGAUAGUCCAUCAUCCCAGGGCUAAGACCACCUCCAGAUUUCUUGUUUGGUGAAACAAGUCCUGAUUGUUUACAUUCCCUCGUGUUGAGCUGUCUCUUGCUUGUAGCUGAAAGCAUUUCUAAUAGAUAUUCAGAUUAUCAGCCUUAGCUCCAAGCUAGAAUACUCUAUGGGACCUUAGCUUCUCCAUGAAUUCCUUUGCUCAUCUGUGUAAUGCUCAAUAAAUGUAAAUUGAACCCUGAAUGAGGGACAAUGACA